GCACCCGUAGUUCAAUGGAUAGAAUAUAGGAUUCCGGUUCCUACGAUAAGAGUUCGAUUCUCUUCGGGUGUA
rnacentral:tRNA from 1 species